rnacentral:tRNA from 1 species
GCGGAUGUGGCGGAAUUGGCAGACGCACCAGACUUAGGAUCUGGCGCCGCGAGGUGUGGAGGUUCGAGUCCUCUCAUCCGCACCA